rnacentral:rRNA from 1 species
CCCCCGGGUGSGAAAGAASGAWGUCCGUAAKGAAAUAAUUUUCUUUUAAUACGGGGGGAUAAUGACGGUACCCGAAGAAUAAGCCCCGGCUAAMUUUGUCCCCGCAGCCGCGGUAAUAUGUAGGGGGCGAGCGUUCUUGAGAAUUACUGGGCGUAAAGCGCGCGCAGGCGGAUAUUUAAGUCAGGUGUGAAAUCCCGGGUCUCCACCUGGGAACUGCAUUUGAGACUGCAUCUCUGGAGUGCGGCAGAGGDGGGUGGAAUUCCGAGUGUAGCAGUGAAAUGUGUAGAUAUGGGGAGGAACCCCAGUGGAGAAGGCAGUUCCCUGGUCCGGUACUGACGCUCAGGCCCGAAAGCGGGGGAGCAAACAGGAUUAGAUACCCKGAGAGUCCACGCCAAAAAYAAUCAACUGGUCGUC